GUGAAGUGGGAAAAGCUCAACUUUAAAAUCUGGCAGCUUCGCUGUCCGAGUUGUAGUCUCGAGAAGUGUUUUCCGCGCUGGAUCGUGUAUGAGUCUGUUGGAAUACAGCGUCAUAGAGGGUGAGAACCCCGUUCAUGACACGACUACCAGUGCUUUGUGAUACACUUUCGAUGAGUCGAGUUGUUUGGGAAUGCAGCUCAAAAUGGGUGGUAAAUUCCAUCUAAAGCUAAAUAUUGGCGAGAGACCGAUAGCAAACAAGUACCGUGAGGGAAAGAUGAAAAGCACUUUGGAAAGAGAGUUAACAGUACGUGAAAUUGUCGAAAGGGAAACGCUUGAAGUCAGACGUGCGCGGUGCGAUUCAGCCUUGGUUCGCCAGGGUGUAUUUCGUACCAUUGCAGGCCAGCAUCGGUUUUGUGAGCCGGAUAAAGGUUAGAGGAAGGUAGCGGUCCAGGCCGUGUUAUAGCCUCUAACUGAAUACGGAUUGUGAGACCGAGGGACGCAGCGCGCCGCAAGGCAAAGGGUCCGCCCUUUUCGCGCUUAGGAU
rnacentral:rRNA from 1 species